GCGUGGACCGACGCGGAU
rnacentral:snRNA from 1 species